rnacentral:lncRNA from 1 species
GUACAUUGAUCAUGAUGGCAUCACAGCUUAAAGUACAGAGCGCUUAUUUUGAAGUGGCAGAGUUGAUCUUGGGCAAGACUCUUUCUGGGAGUAGAGGAAGAAGAUCAGGAAUAAACCUUGUGUUUAGAAGAAAGAAAUGAGAGGUACUGAGUUGCUUUCCUCUUCUUCCAUAUGCUGAAACGGAAGAAAUGAAAGAAAUCUGGAAGAGUCACGGGCUCUCUGAAUUGCUAGAAAACAUGGGACAUGAACAAUGAUGUGUCAUAUGGUUUGAUUGAAAAGAUACUUAAUGACCCAACACCAACAAGGGACGCUGUCUUUUCUCGUCACUUCUGAAAGAAAUAGUACAGGAGUGGGAAAGGGGGAAGCAGCCUGGAGUAUUUUCCAGAACCACUUGAUGUCUUAAAAGCUGACCGUCCUCAUCAAUGCAGAGAUUUGGCCCUCGCAGCUGACCGUCCUCAUCGAUGCAGAGAUUUGGCCCUCGCAGCUGACCAUCCUCAUCCAUGUAGAGAUUUGGCCCUCGCAGCUGACCGUCCUCAUCGAUGCAGAGAUUUGGCCCUCGCAGCUGACCAUCCUCAUCCAUGUAGAGAUUUGGCCCUCGCAGCUGACCAUCCUCAGCGAUGCGGAGAUUUGGCCCUCGCAGCUGACAGUCCUCAUCGAUGCAGAGAUUUGCUUCUGUCCCCAGGGUUUUCGUACAUGAGGCUCCUGGAUCCUUACAACACGAUGACAUAAGUACCUUCACACUUGAGGACACUAAGGCUCAGGGAGAAGUAACCCGCCAGCAAUCGAUGAAUCUGGAAUGUGAAUGCCUCUCCUUUCACUCUAUAUCCCUGUUCUUUUCCAGAUAGGAUGUACACGAUCAUUUCUCAACUGCAUAUAUAAAGCAACAGAGAAAAUGUUCUCUGCAAUUGACGAUCAAGACAAAAAAAGCCUCCUUUGUAUUACGGUGCAAUGUAGACUUACUUAACUUUUGUCAGUGGAAAUGUCAAACUUAUUUUAAGAAAAAUGUUCAAAAGAUUUCAAAGAUAUCAGAGGACACCUCAAUAAAAGAACAAUGGCUAUUUUCUCUACACUUCCCUCCCAGCUUUCUGGUGAUGGAGGCCUUUGAGGAAAUUGUAGCUCAGCCUCUUCUUCCACUGGCCCUGAGUGUACUUGGCAAAGCCCAAUUGCCUGGAGGUAAGUUCCUCUCCAGAGUUCCUGUCUUCAAGCAUCACCUCUUGCUGCUCUCACCUUCUGUUUCUCCAAGUCUGUGUUCUGUUUCCAUACAGAAUGGGAGAUGGAAGAGGAAACAGAGGCAGAACUACCCUUUAUUCUUCCGUGGUAAAAUGAUGAACUAA